rnacentral:lncRNA from 1 species
AGGUUCUUCCGCCCCGAGCUGGCCUGGCGCCUCCCGGCCGCCAUAAGCAGAGGCUGGGGAGCGUGGCCCCGAGUGCUCACCUGGGGUCGAGGAGUACCGAGGGGCUUAGGCCGGGCUCCGGGUCAUUCGUUCGUCCUCUCAUUCAUUCAUUCCUUGAGCCGACUCUGGAAUUGAGAUGGGUUCGGUGGAUCCUAGAAGGAUUGUGCAGAUGCAGGAGUUGACCAAGUGGAAUUGCUGUAAACGUUGGCCAGCAAGAAGCAGCGUCACUUGUAGAAUCUUGGGCCUUUCUCCUGACCCCUGCAGGGAUUCGGAGACCGAGGCGUCCCCAGGCGGUUCACCCCAGCCAGUGAUGAAGCAGCCCCAGGAAGCUAAUACACAGCCGCCAGGUUCUUGCCUGGAAGCCACCCAAUGCAGUAAGAGACCCACUCGUCCACAGAAGUAGAUUUCGAAGGAUCAUCUGCCCUGCAGCUGUCAAAGAACUUAACUGGAGGUGGAGUCAGCCUCGAGGCCUUCCUCAGAAGGGGUUGGAGGGCUUGCCGUCCUGCAGAGUCAUGUCCUCAGGGAGGUCCUCUCUUCAUUCCAGUUUCUGGGGCUGGAUGCCGGCGUCUUGUAGCACCGGCCACAGAGCGUCGUGCACCUGAAGACAAGAAUCAGAGGGAGUUUUCCUCCGCCUCCUGCUUCAGGCGCUGCCACUUGCGCUGCGCUUCUGGGGCUAAACGCCGGCUUUCUGGCGCGUGACCUACACCUCGGUGCUGUGCUUGGCCUGUGAACCAAGAAGAUGUGUUCUGCCCUACAGAAGCUGGUGACCCAGAGGAAGAAGAGACAAAUCUGGAUCGACCUUGCGUCCUUUCUCUGCUUUCCAAACAAAUCCGAAUGUUCGGACAUGAACUUGACAGUGUUCAUCUCACCGGUGCCCUGGAGACAGUAAGUCAGAUGUGUACAUAUCUUUUCGGUCUAUGCCGUCUGUCCUGUUACCUAUUUUUACUCUUGGAUACCUUUAAAAAGAAACUUUAAACUUUGAAACUAACCCCAGUGCUCUUGGUCUUUGGGUUGUAUACCUUUUGACAGCCUUCAAUGCAAAACAGUACAGCUCUGCCCAGACUGUUUCUGUGGUACACGGCAGACCCAGCCAGGGUGAGCCAAGCCAGCGGGUGUUUGUUUAACACUUAGUAUUUUGAUUUACCUAAGGUAAGCACUUCUCCUACUUCUUCCGCUGUGUUACUUGUUCUAAUUCAGCUUCUUUUCCUGUGCUAUUAUUGCUAACUAGAGCCAGUUAAAGAAUGGAAAGAGAGCUAACAAGGGGUUUGUAGGAUGGUAAGUAGAAUUUUCUUGCUCGGCAUUUUGGCUCACGUACCAUUCUUUGAAAACCUGGGUAUCUAGGACUCAGGCAUCGUCACUAAACUUAUUUACCACGGAAUUCUUUAUUCUCUCAUUUACAACCGCCUUGAAGAAUACUUGAGAAUGUUAGACUUAUCCAAAUGUGAAGUGCACUGAAACUCAGCGUAACCCUUUGACUCUGUAAAAUGAAGCCCAGGUGUAUAGAUUAAUGUCCAGAAGAGAGUUUUUGAAGGAGUGGCCCUUUCAAAUAAUUCUUAUUAGCUAGGACAACAUUUAAAAACUCCUGUGUUAAGCCCCUCAUAUAAUGCUUUGUGCUUUGACAGGCUUCUCUAACUCCCCUGGACAGAGCGAGUUGUUUUUCCAAGUCUCCUCUGCCCUAUGUACUGUAUUUAUCUAUUUUAUUUACUUUUAAAUUCUCUUCUUGCCUACGAUAGCGACUAGGACGUAAUAGGUGACCAGAAAAACGCUUGUUGAAUUGAACUGAGGAAGAGCCUUCCUUAUUCUGAUACUGUGCCAAAACAAUCUACACUGAGUAUUAUAAUGAGUGGUGAAAUAUUUAAAAGCUUUCCUUUGAGAUUGGGACCUAAACAAGCAUGUCCGCUAUCAUCACUUCUUUUUAAUGUCCCAUUGCAUGUCCUAGACAGUUCAAUAAAGGAAGGAAAAGAAAUUUUAAUAUAUGAGGAUAGAACAGGAAGAAAGAUGUAUAUGUAAAUGGUUUGACUCCACAUAAAGCCGAAGAAAUAAUUACUUUACUGGAUCCCAGAUAAACCAGAAAGUAGGGAUUUUUUUUUUUUUUUUUAGCCUGGUGAUAUUCAGUACCUAAGCAUUUUGUCUGGGUCAAUGCAGUUAUCACACUGCAUUGUGUGACAAGAAACACUUGUCAUGUAUCUCGGUGUCAUUGAAACACCACUGAGAAUUUUGUCCUCUGUCAUCUGUAAUAUUCUACAUGGACAAUAACUGCAGAUUCUGACUUAGAAAGUAAGACUCAGUCAUAAGCCAAAAUCGGCCUGUACCAGCUCCUGGGAGCAGAUUGAUCACAUUUCUUUUUAACUCUGGGUUUCUUGUCCUCAAUCACUUCAGUAGCUUGAAAUCGUCAGCCAUGCUGGGAGUGUUUACAUCACAGAAACUGGCCCAAACCGCAGGUCAGUACUGAGGCCCUCGCCUACCAAGGCUGGUCACUAAACAUUGACUAACACACUACUGGGCAGACAGAUAAUGACAUGAAACGUUCUGACAGCUUCAUUGAAAGGGCAAAGAAACUAUUGACAUGAUGUCUUAAAAUUGGGGGUUUUGUUUUAAAUAGGAAAACAGGUACUUGAAGUUAGAGAAGAAUCUCCGUUUAGACUUAGAUGUUGAGUUCCAGACAUGUGGAAUGACCGCCAUCCAAUUUAAUUUAAAAAAAAAAAAAAAAAGGAAUUUCAUUGUUUUUGGAUCCAGUGAAAGGGAGGUUUUUUUUAAAAAAUUGAUUUUUGUUUUAAAGUUCAAUAAAAUUUUAUUAAUUUAAUUAGUUCCUAUCAAUUUUUAAAUAAGCAGUGGCUUAGAUUAAAUUUGCACUCUUGCUCUCUCACGCGCACUCUCUCCUUCUCUCCCUCCCCGCCCCCCUUAUUUAACCCAAACUCCUCGAGCACAUUAAUGGGUCUGGUCUGUCCUUUUACAGUUGGAGCGGCAUUGGUGAUUGUAAAUCAAGGCAAUGUUUAACCAGGAUUUCGCGGUGUUGUUUCUGUUAGGAUUUUGAGGGUUUUCCAUAAGGGUAUAUGUUAUGGGAAAAGCACAUACAAACCGGGAAAAGGAAGUUUGCUGGAAGCCGGAAGGGGGUUGUGUUGAUGGUGGCUGUUCCUUUAAGACAAUCACCCUGGGUAUCAUGAUCAGAAAGGGGAUUCAAGCGUGGACGUGGUAUGAGCAGGCAUCCGUAGGAUGGUCUGAGUUCGCCUUCCAAGUGCGUGUGGGCUUGGGGGGAGCUGGAGGAGGAAGGGGAUCUUGCAGUGUGGUCGGAAGCGUGCCAGCUCAUGGAGUUCGCUGGUGGUGCCGCGGGUUGAGGAUCCUGCAUUUUCACUGCUGUGGCUUGAGUCACAGCUGUGGCACAGGUGUGCAUGCUGUGGGUGCAACCAAAAAAAAAAAAAAAAAAAAAA